rnacentral:rRNA from 1 species
ACGACGCUGGCGGCGUGGAUUAGGCAUGCAAGUCGAACGGUAUCAUCCUUUCGGGGGUGAGAGAGUGGCGAACUGGUGAGUAACACGUAGGUUAUCUACCUCAAGACGGGGACAACCCAGGGAAACUUGGGCUAAUACCGGAUGUGAGCAACUUUUAGUUGUUUGAAAGGUGGCGUAAGCUGUCGCUUGGGGAUGAGCCUGCGUCCUAUUAGUUAGUUGGUGAGGUAACGGCUCACCUAGGCAAUGAUAGGUAGGCGGCCUUAACGGGUGGUCGCCCACACUGGGAUUGAGAUACGGCCCAGACUCCUACGGGAGGCAGCAGUCGAGAAUAGUCUACAAUGGUCGGAAGACUGAUAGUGCGACGCCGCGUGAACGAUGAAUCCCUUCGGGGUGUAAAGUUCUUUUAUAUGUGAGCAGUGCUUCUUAUAUUAACAGUAUGGGGAGAGAGAUAUUAGCAUAUGAAUAAGCAACGGCUAACUCCGUG